UGAAUACGAGACGCUAAGGCGUCGAAGUAGUGUAUGUCAUACUUCCAAGAAAAGCUUGCACUGUCAUAGAUAAAAAACGCCUGUACCAUAACCGACACAGGUGGGUAGGUAGAGUAUACUAAGGGGCGCGAGAUAACUCUCUCUAAGGAACUCGGCAAAAUGACUCCGUAACUUCGGGAGGAGGAGUGCCUUAUUCUUAAGGUUGCAAUAACAAGAUCCAAGCAACUGUUUAUCAAAAACACAGGUCUCCGCUAAGUCGUAAGACGAUGUAUGGGGGCUGACGCCUGCCCAGUGCCAGAAGGUUAAAGAAGUUGGUUAGCAUUUGCGAAGCUGAUAACUGAAGCCCUGGUGAACGGCGGCCGUAACGAUAACGGUCCUAAGGUAGCGAAAUUCCUUGUCGGGUAAGUUCCGACCCGCACGAAAGGCGUAAUGAUUUGGAUACUGUCUCGGAGAGGGGCUCGGUGAAAUAGACUUGUCUGUGAAGAUGCGGACUACCUGCACCAGGACAGAAAGACCCUAUGAAGCUUUACUGUAACUUGAAAUUGAAAUUGGACUUUAUUCGCGCAGUACAGGUGGGAGGCGUUGAUUAUAAUCUUGCGGGAUUAUUGGAGCCAUCAGUGAGAUACCACCCUUGUAAUGUUAGAUUUCUAACUUUGAAUCAUUAUCUGGUCAAAGAACAGUUUCAGGCGGGCAGUUUGACUGGGGCGGUCGCCUCCUAAACGGUAACGGAGGCGUACAAAGGUUUCCUCUGAACGGUUAGAAAUCGUAUCUAGAGUGUAAAGGCAUAAGGAAGCUUGACUGUGAGACCUACAAGUCGAGCAGGGACGAAAGUCGGUCUUAGUGAUCUGACGGUACUGAGUGGAAAGGCCGUCACUCAACGGAUAAAAGUUACUCUAAGGAUAACAGGCUGAUCUCCCCCAAGAGUUCACAUCGACGGGGAGGUUUGGCACCUCGAUGUCGGCUCAUCGCAUCCUGGGGCGGUAGUACGUCCCAAGGGUUGGGCAGUUCGCCCAUGAAAGCGGUACGCGAGCUGGGUUCAGAACGUCGUGAGACAGUUCGGUCCAUAUCCGGUGUAGGCGUUAGAAUAUUGAGAGGAGCCUUCUUUAGUACGAGAGGACCGAGAAGGACAUACCUCUGGUGUACCAGUUAUCGUGCCAACGGUAAACGCUGGGUAGCUAUGUAUGGAGUGGAUAACCGCUGAAAGCAUCUAAGUGGGAAGCCCACCUCAAGAUAAGUAUUCUC
rnacentral:rRNA from 1 species